rnacentral:rRNA from 1 species
GACGAACGCUGGCGGCGUGCUUAACACAUGCAAGUCGAACGGUAAGGCCCUUCGGGGUACACGAGUGGCGAACGGGUGAGUAACACGUGGGUGAUCUGCCCUGCACUUCGGGAUAAGCCUGGGAAACUGGGUCUAAUACCGGAUAGGACCACUGCCUGCAUGGGUGGUGGUGGAAAGCUGUUGCGGUGUGGGAUGGGCCCGCGGCCUAUCAGCUUGUUGGUGGGGUGAUGGCCUACCAAGGCGACGACGGGUAGCCGGCCUGGGAGGGUGACCGGCCACACUGGGACUGAGAUACGGCCCAGACUCCUACGGGAGGCAGCAGUGGGGAAUAUUGCGCAAUGGGCGCAAGCCUGAUGCAGCGACGCCGCGUGAGGGAUGACGGCCUUCGGGUUGUAAACCUCUUUCAGCACCGAUGAAGCGCAAGUGACGGUAGGUGCAGAAGAAGGACCGGCCAACUACGUGCCAGCCGCCGCCGUAA